rnacentral:rRNA from 1 species
UCUGGUGCUUGCACUAGAAAAACUUAGCGGCGAACGGGUGAGUAACACGUAAAGAACCUGCCUCAUAGACUGGGACAACUAUUGGAAACGAUAGCUAAUACCGGAUAACAGUAUUUCUCGCAUGAGAGAUAUUUAAAAGUUGGUUAUGCUAACACUAUGAGAUGGCUUUGCGGUGCAUUAGCUAGUUGGUGGGGUAAAGGCCCACCAAGGCGACGAUGCAUAGCCGACCUGAGAGGGUGAUCGGCCACACUGGGACUGAGACACGGCCCAGACUCCUACGGGAGGCAGCAGUAGGGAAUCUUCCGCAAUGGGCGAAAGCCUGACGGAGCAACGCCGCGUGAGUGAAGAAGGAUUUCGGUUCGUAAAGCUCUGUUGUUAGGGAAGAAUGGAUAUGUAGUAACUAUACAUAUAAGAGACUUACCUAACCAGAAAGCC